ACCUUCGCAAUGCGCGAAAGCGUGACGAGGUUAAUCCGAGUGACUUCCGCUGAGGAGGUCUUUUGUCAGCUGUAAAUAGGCAGGCGAAUAAGGGGAGGGCAAGCCUGGUGUCAGCCGCCGCGGUAAUACCAGCUCCUCGAGUGGUCGGGGCGAUUAUUGGGCCUAAAGCAUCCGUAGCCGGUUCCGUAGGUCCUCUGUUAAAUCCAACCGCUUAACGGUUGACCUGCAGAGGAUACCGCGGGACUAGGAGGCGGGAGAGGCGGACGGUACUCCGCGUGUAGGGGUAAAAUCCUUUGAUCCGCGGAAGACCACCAGUGGCGAAGGCGGUCCGCCAGAACGCGCUCGACGGUGAGGGAUGAAAGCUGGGGGAGCGAACCGGAUUAGAUACCCGGGUAGUCCCAGCCGUAAACGAUGCUAGCUAGAUGAUUCAUUCGCAAGUCGCGAAUGAAGUGUUGCAGGGAAGCCGUUAAGCUAGCCGCCUGGGGAGUACGGUCGCAAGACUGAAACUUAA
rnacentral:rRNA from 2 species